UCUCGUCUUUCAAUAAAAAAAAUUCGUUUUUGUCUUUAAUUUUUUCAUUUCAAUAAUUGUAUGAUAGAACACGUAAAAGAAAUAAAAACAUAAAGCAAGAAAAGGAAAAUUAAAUGAUUCGUCGUUUCUAUUGGCUACGAAGGGCAAUUGUACGAUGACGAUAAAGUGAAAAAUUCAAUUACUCGAUAGAUAGAUCCAACAGGUCGAUCAUUUUAGUUUUGACGUCACCACCUUGUCUGUAUUCCAAGGCGAGACCUGUAAAAUAGAUUUAACUUAGAAAGACGCCUCAUGUGGACAUUCCAAUUACGUGCAGAACGAGCUUCUCAAGAUAAAGAGAGAGAGAGAGAGAGAAUGAGCAAGAAGGAGGGUGAGUCUAAUAGACAGGGAAGCUGGGUACGCGUAUUUAAUUAUAAAACAUAAUUGCGAGUCUUGAAAAUUAUUCGGGUGACUAGCCGACACUUCAGAGGAAGAUGCUUUUAUCCUUUAUCAUGAAGAAAGGUACCGUAGCGUGCACACAUCACUGAUCUUUCUACUCUUACUGACAUUACCCUUAUGCGUUCAUUAAACAAAAAAAAUAGAUAAUCACGAAAAAUUCGGCGUUACCAAGGUACGCUUGAUCGAUUACGCUAUUGUUGCAUGCGAGAAUUGUUUCAAAUUUUCCUUUGCGUUUUUAUAUCUAUUACUUUAAUCGAUAAUUACAUAUUUUAAUUCGUUAUGUCGCUUAUAUCCGUGUGAAAUAUUAAUGUAUAUUAAUUAAUUGUAAGACAUAUUAAUAAAUAAUUUAAAUAUGUAACAUCUCGAUAUCCUCGAUCGAUCGAUUCUCGAAACUGCCAUCUAGUGUGCAAAUAUAGGAAAUAUUUAAACUAACCUUAUGAUGAUAAUAGUUUUGCGCAUGCGCACUUUGGACUUUGUCAUAUAUCUUCGGCAUACGAUCGUUGUAUAUUCAUAAUAUUCAUAAUUAUUUAUAUUAGCCCAAGAUGAAAGUCAACGGGAAUUCAAAGCAUACCGAUCAUUUGGCAAGCACUCAGUGUAUGGACAGCUAAACCUAAUGAAGAAUUAUUUUUACUAUUCUAUAUAUUAUAAUAUAUACUAAGUAUUACAAUUUAUCAACAUGUUACCUAAAGCAUCUGGAUCAGCUAGACCAAUAUCUUCGCUCGAUAUUCUGAUUAAACGUCUAGCGAUAUCCACAGGAUCUUCUUUAGCAGCCAUUAUUCUAGCUAACCAAUAUAAAGACGCAUUUGGUUUGCCUGCACAAAUUGAUUUGUGCAAAGCAGAGUACAAAUGAUGCGUCUGUUCAUUUUUAUUGUCCACUUGCAUGUAUAUAUGUAUUAAACCUUGUUUGAUAUCUUCGAGACCUAUACUAACCAUUCCAAUGUGUCGCUAUGAAUUAUAAAUUUUGAGACAUUGUCAGAAUUCUGUAAAUUAUGGAUUCUACCGUCCAUACAAUGUAUGCUUUUCUUAAGUAUUUCAAUUAUAUCUUUGGUUGAUAAUUUA